rnacentral:rRNA from 1 species
UACGUAGGGGGCAAGCGUUGUCCGGAAUCAUUGGGCGUAAAGAGCGUGUAGGCGGCCCGAUAAGUCCGCUGUGAAAGUCCAGGGCUCAACCCUGGAAUGCCGGUGGAUACUGUCGGGCUCGAAUCCGGAAGAGGUGAGUGGAAUUCCUGGUGUAGCGGUGAAAUGCGCAGAUAUCAGGAGGAACACCAAUGGCGAAGGCAGCUCACUGGGACGGUAUUGACGCUGAGACGCGAAAGCGUGGGGGAGCAAACAGG